GGGUCUAAUCAUACCUAUGUUAAUGUAUCAGAUCCCAUCAAAACUCUAUAGUUAAGCGUGCUUGGGUUGGAGUAGUACCGUGAUGGUUUACCUUUGGGGAAGUCUGAGUAUUACACCAUG
rnacentral:rRNA from 1 species